rnacentral:rRNA from 1 species
CCUACGGGGGGCAGCAGUGAGGAAUAUUGGUCAAUGGACGAGAGUCUGAACCAGCCAAGUAGCGUGAAGGAUGACUGCCCUAUGGGUUGUAAACUUCUUUUAUAAAGGACUAAAACGAGGCACGUGUGCCUUUUUGCAUGUACUUUAUGAAUAAGGAUCGGCUAACUCCGUGCCAGCAGCCGCGGUAAUACGGAGGAUCCGAGCGUUAUCCGGAUUUAUUGGGUUUAAAGGGAGCGUAGAUGGGUUGUUAAGUCAGUUGUGAAAGUUUGCGGCUUAACCGUAAAAUUGCAAUGGAUACUGGCAGUCUUGAGUACAGUUGAGGUAGGCGGAAUUCGUGGUGUAGCGGUGAAAUGCUUAGAUAUCACGAAGAACCCCGAUUGCGAAGGCAGCUUACUAAACUGUGACUGACAUUGAUGCUCGAAAGUGUGGGUAGCAAACAGGAUUAGAUACCCGAGUAGUC